rnacentral:tRNA from 1 species
UCGGAUAUGGUGUAACGGCUAACAUUGCCGCCUCUCAUAGCAAAAGUACGUUGAGCUACGCGGCAGCUCGGGGUUCGAUUCCCCGUAUCCGAA